GGAACACAAUGCUGGCUUCAUACACCCAAAUUGGAACAAUACAGAGACCAUUAGCCUGGCCCCCAUGCAAGGAUGACGUGAAAACUCAUGACAUGUGCCAUGUUUUU
ensembl:snRNA U6 U6 spliceosomal RNA